CAGGCGGUGACUUGAGUUGGGUAGAAAAAAAUAGCAUUAGAGCACAAAGUGCGAAGAGAAAUCCUAAGGACACUCCGGAUUCAGAAACCCCCGCAAAGAGGCUAGAACAGCUGGCAGCUAACGAAGGUCUCCAAGGCCACCAGAAGAGGCACGUUUCGACUCCCUAAUUACCUUACUGCCAGGGUAAGGUGAUAGGGUGGCUACCAUUUAAAAGGCUCAGCAGUUUCUCCCAGAAAACGGUGGGGAUGCUUCCCCUCCUCUGUUGGAGAGGCCAAAGCUGCUCUCCAAAUCAGGCCUCCGGUGAGUCCCCUCUGCUGGCUCAACAUAAGAGGAAUCCGGAGAGGAGAGGAUCUGUGACACAGCCAGGUUCCCAGGAGAAUUUUUUUCUCCUUGUAUCAUGAUAAAAAGCAGUAGAAUGUAACACAGAGAAGACAAGUAGUGAUUCUAUAGCAUCUUACUGCGCUGAUGGACAGUGACUGUAAUGGGGUAUGUGGUGGGAACUUAAUAAUGGGGGAGUCUAGUAACCAUAAUGUUGCUCAUGUAAUUGUACAUUAAUGAUAGCAAAAAAAAAAGCAGUAGAAUUACAUUUUGUUCCAUGGGUUCCUGCCUACGAAGUCUCACCUGUCACCUAAUGCACACUUUUCCAGACAAAGAUGGUUCUCUCCCUUAAAACUAACUGUAGUUCUUUCCACCCCGAUUUCUUUCUAUAAAUAUCAAAAGAGAACACUAUGCAAAGUCUCAGACCAGAGUUUGGAACGUUAAUUUCUCUUUUUUUGUUGUGCAUUCAAGUAGGGUAAAGAUUCUGAUUUUUUAAAAUUGUUUUUUAUUAGCUUAU